AGGUGACCUGCGGAAGGAUCAUUACCGAGUGCGGGCCCCUCGGGGCCCAACCUCCCACCCGUGUUGCCCGAACCUAUGUUGCCUCGGCGGGCCCCGCGCCCGCCGACGGCCCCCCUGAACGCUGUCUGAAGUUGCAGUCUGAGACCUAUAACGAAAUUAGUUAAAACUUUCAACAACGGAUCUCUUGGUUCCGGCAUCGAUGAAGAACGCAGCGAAAUGCGAUAACUAAUGUGAAUUGCAGAAUUCAGUGAAUCAUCGAGUCUUUGAACGCACAUUGCGCCCUCUGGUAUUCCGGAGGGCAUGCCUGUCCGAGCGUCAUUGCUGCCCUCAAGCCCGGCUUGUGUGUUGGGCCCCGUCCCCCCCGCCGGGGGGACGGGCCCGAAAGGCAGCGGCGGCACCGCGUCCGGUCCUCGAGCGUAUGGGGCUUCGUCACCCGCUCUAGUAGGCCCGGCCGGCGCCAGCCGACCCCCAACCUUUAAUUAUCUCAGGUUGACCUCGGAUCAGGUAGGGAUACCCGCUGAACUUAAGCAUAUCAAUAAGCGGAGGAAAAGAAACCAACCGGGAUUGCCCUAGUAACGGCGAGUGAAGCGGCAAGA
rnacentral:rRNA from 1 species